rnacentral:lncRNA from 1 species
GGUUAGUGUCCUCCGACUCCCCAGUUCAUGAAAACUGCUCGAAAACCCCAAGCACAGCGCAACCGACCCAAACACCAUCACAUCAUCACCCGAACCCACAUCCUCCCCCAAUUUCUUAGCCUCCAAGAGCCUCCUCCCCAUUCCCAGUAAUACAUCAAACAUGCUACUCUUAAUCUUCCCCACCUGUCUCUUAGAAGCCGACCCUUUCUUCUCUUAUCUCUCCCUCACCUGCAAACCAUAAAGGAAGAAGCUCAAAGUUUUGGUUCUAAGCAACAUCACCACGAAUAUCGGGAAGCCGAGAUACUCUUCAUCCUCUCUUUACUACAGAAGAAUUUUGGAGAUUCAUUGUUACCGUGGAAGCUCUUGCAUGGAAAUUUCUUAACAGAUUGCAGCAUACAAGGAAAAGCAUUCUCAUAGCCAAAAAAAUUCAGAGAUGAAUUUCAAAAGAGCUGUUAUGUUGUCUAGAACAAGGCGUGUCCCUGUGGAAUAGAGAAUUAUUACAUUAUAAGCACUAAACAAUCCCUUAACUUCAUGAAGUUCUGCACCAAGGCAAGGUUGUUGACAAUAGGAGAUGCCUAUUAUCAGGAGCACUUGGAACAAUGAUUGACUAUAUGCUUCAAUAGGUCCACAUGAUUGAAGAAGGGAUGCAUUUCUUACCAGAUUCACUUCAUCUCUCUACUUGAAUGUCUUCAAUGGUGUGGUUAUGAACUACCCUUUCAUCUGUUAAAUGUCUUCAAUGGUGUGGUUAAGAACUACCUUAAAUUCCUUUGUUGUAUUUAGGUAACUUCUAAUAUGUUUAGGGUUAGGGAUAUGGGUUUAAUUGAUUGAUGUAAUGAGUUCUACUAAUACAUUUUCAAUUGUUACUUUGUAAAUG